GCUCUGUAUGAAUAAAAAAAAAAAAAAGAAACUUGAACAAAAUGCUCUUUUAUUUUAAAACUAUAUUUUUUAAGUGUAGUAGCUCAUCACUCACCUUUCUUCACAUUGUUAGUUACUGGAGGAGCUACGGACGUUAUGUUCAGUACAGCUAAUUCUAACAAAUGUCUAUUAGAAAAAUGGGCUUGUUUCUUUUCCCUGUGUCUCUGUUUUAUGUUGUAGUGUGCUUUUGACUGUGCCUCUUGGGCUUUUCAACAACUAGGUCAAACAUAGCCUUGGUCCCUGGUGUAAACAAGAUGUGACACAGCAGCAGCUGGGGCCCAGGAUGCAGCAGUGAGUGCUGACAUGCAGAUGGACAGCCAAUAGAAACAGAUUGAGGAGCUCUUUGCACUCCAGAGCUCAGCAACGAGUUCUUCAGCUGGUUAAACCCACUGCUGCACCUUGGCCAGAAAAAGAGGCUGGAGGAAAGCGACAUGUACAGCGUUCUGCCCGAGGAUCAGUCUGAAAUACUGGGAGAGGAACUACAGAGAUUCUGGGACCAUGAAGUUAGAAAGGCUACAAAGGAACUUCGGAAGCCAAAACUCACAAGAGUCCUUGUUAGGUGCUAUGGGAAGUCCUACGCAGUGGCUGGGUUGUUUGUAUUUUCACUGGAGGUAAUUAAAGUGAUCCAGCCACUUCUUAUGUGGAAGAUAAUCCAGUACUUUGAGAGUUACGACCCAGAAGAUGAGAGAAGUCUCAUCAUGGCGUAUGGUUACGCUGCUGCAAUGUCCCUCUCUGCCUUUGGACUGACCAUCCUCCAACAUCUCUACUACUACCACGUCCAAAGAACAGGCAUGAAGAUUAGAGUGGCCGUUUGUCACAUGAUAUACAGGAAGGCUCUCGGUCUCAGCAGCGAAUCCAUGGGCCGAACAACCACCGGACAAAUUGUGAACCUCCUUUCAAAUGAUGUCAAUCAUUUUGAUGAGAUUACACUCAAUCUGCACUACUUGUGGGUGGGACCUCUUCAAGCCGUGGUGAUCAUCCUUUUACUUUGGUACGAGAUCGGUCCCUCGUGUCUGGCAGGUGUGGCAGGCAUUGCCCUCAUGCUGCCUGUACAGACUUGGUUUGGAAAGCUCUUUGGCAUCUUCAGGAGUAAAACGGCCGUCCUUACUGACAAUAGAAUCCGCAUCAUGAAUGAAGUGGUGUCUGGUAUCAGGAUCAUCAAGAUGUAUGCCUGGGAGAAACCAUUCUCAGCUCUGGUUACUGAAGUGAGAAGGAAAGAAAUCAGUCAGAUACUGAAGAGCUCCUACCUACGAGGACUCAACAUGGCCUCCUUCUUCGCCAGCAGCAAGAUCAUUGUCUUUGUUACCUUCACUGUCUACGUUCUCCUGGGCAACGCCAUCACUGCCAGCAGCGUGUUUGUCACAGUUUCCCUCUAUGGCACAAUCAAGCUCACAGUCACCCUGUUCUUCUCACUUGCCAUCGAAAAGGUGUCAGAGACGGCCGUCAGCAUUCGCAGGAUUACGAAUUUCCUUCUGCUUGAAGAGGUUGAGAGAAGAAACUUUGUGCUACCUCUGGAAGAAAAGAAGGAAAACUCCAUUGAGAUUGAGAAGUUGACCUGCUACUGGGAUAAAAGUUUAGACGCUCCAUCUCUGCAGAACGUCUCUAUCACGGUGAAGUCACACCAACUUCUGACUGUAAUUGGCCCAGUGGGGGCUGGAAAGUCAUCCCUGUUGAGCGCCAUUCUGGGAGAGCUAACUCAUGACUCUGGGACGCUGAAGGUCAAGGGUCAGCUGACCUAUGCCACGCAGCAGCCCUGGGUGUUCCCUGGAACUAUUCGCAGUAACAUCCUUUUUGGGAGGGAGCUGAACACGCAGAAGUACGAGAGUGUGAUCAAGGCCUGCGCUCUAAAGAAGGACCUGGAGCUGCUUCCAGAUGGAGACCUGACACUGAUCGGGGACAGAGGGGCCACACUCAGCGGGGGGCAGAAAGCUCGUGUGAACCUGGCGAGGGCGGUUUAUCAGGAUGCAGACAUCUACCUCCUGGAUGACCCUUUAAGUGCUGUGGAUGCUGAGGUUGGGAAACAUCUGUUUGAGCAGUGUAUCUGUGGUCUGCUGAAGAACAAGUGUCGUAUCCUGGUCACCCACCAGCAGCAGCAUCUGAAGGCAGCCGACCAGAUUGUGGUCAUCAAGGAGGGUCAUAUCACGGCUCAGGGAACCGCCAGUGAGCUGCAGCGCUCGGGCCUCAACAUCGUGUCCCUGCUGAGAAGUGACGAGGAGCAGGAUCGAUGGUCUCAAUCAGCUGACCCCGACAAACUGUCGUUACACAGCCAGAGGAACAAUCUCUCGCACAGUUCACACUGUUCUUACAGCAGCCUCCUGCCGCCAGAGAGCGACUGCACUGACCAGCUUCCUGUUGAAACCGUUCGUACCAUGGCAGAGGAGACUCGAGUUGAAGGAAAUGUUAGUGGCCAAAUAUAUCUCAAGUACUUCACUGCCGGCUGUAACCUUCUGGUAUUGCUGGUGAUAGUCCUGCUCAGUGUCACAGCUGAGGCUUCAUAUAUUCUGCAGGACUGGUGGCUGGUAUACUGGGCAAGAGAAGAGUUUUUUAACAACACAGCCACUGCUGUUAGCACUAAACAUGAGAUUAAUACUACUCCCUCAGAUCAAGAGUUUAAGCUCACCUUUUACCUCAGCAUUUAUUCAGGUUUGACGGCAGCUGCUGUGGUGUUUGGCUAUGCCCGGAGUUUAGUGAUCUUUCAUGGGCUGGUGAGAUCGGCUCAGACUUUACACAACAGCAUGUUCAGCGCAGUCAUCCGCACGCCUGUUCACUUCUUUGAUGUCAACCCCAUAGGAAGGAUUCUCAACAGGUUUUCCAAAGACAUCAGCCAGAUGGACUCGACGUUACCCAUCACCUUUGUGGACUUCUAUCAAUUAUUUUUACAGAACGUCGGUGUGGUUGUGGUGGCUGCCUCAGUCAUCCCUCUCAUCCUCAUCCCCGUCGUUCCUCUGCUUUUUUUCUUCCUGUACUUGAGGCGUUUCUACCUCCGUACAUCACGAGAUGUCAAACGUCUCGAGUCUACAACUCGAAGUCCAGUGUUCUCCCAUCUGUCUUCGUCUCUUCAGGGCCUGUGGACGAUCCGAGCCCUCAGAGCCGAGGACAGGUUAAAGAAAGCCUUUGAUGCACAUCAGGACCUGCACUCAGAGGCGUGGUUUUUGUUCCUGAUGACGUCCCGAUGGUUUGCAUUGCGCCUCGACAGCAUUUGCUCCAUAUUCAUCACAUUUGCAACGUUUGGCUGCAUCCUGCUGAGAGAUGGGCUUGAGGCUGGAGAGGUCGGCCUGGUGCUGACCUAUGCUGUGACGCUGGUCGGAAACUUCCAGUGGACGAUGAGGCAAAGUGCGGAGGUGGAGAACAUGAUGACGUCAGUCGAGAGAGUGGUGGAGUAUACGGAGCUUAAGAGUGAAGCACCCUGGAAAACACAGACGUGUCCUCCUCCUGAUUGGCCGGGUAAAGGAGCAGUGAGCUUCAACCGGGUGAACUUCUCCUACAGCGAUGAUGGACCGCUGGUCCUCAAAGACAUCAGUGCCACCCUCCACCCCAAUGAGAAGGUUGGCAUUGUGGGAAGGACCGGUGCUGGGAAGAGCUCUCUGGUCUCAGCUCUCUUUCGCCUGGCAGAGCCUCAGGGGAAGAUCUACAUUGACGGUGUUUUGACCUCUGAGAUCGGCCUCCAUGACCUGCGCCAGAAGAUGUCCAUCAUCCCUCAGGACCCGGUGCUGUUUACUGACACAGUGAGGAAAAACCUGGACCCCUUCAACCAGCAUGCUGAUGAAGACCUGUGGAAGGCUCUGGAGGAGGUUCAGCUGAAGUCUGUGGUGGAGGAGCUUCCUGGGAAGUUGGAGACAGUUCUUGCAGAGUCGGGCUCCAACUUCAGCGUGGGUCAGAGACAGCUGGUCUGUCUGGCCAGAGCAGUCCUGAGGAAGAACCGCAUCCUCAUCAUUGAUGAGGCUACAGCCAACGUGGACCCCAGGACAGAUGAACUGAUCCAGAAAACUAUACGGGAGAAGUUCAGAGAAUGCACAGUGCUGACCAUCGCUCAUCGCCUCAACACCAUCAUAGACAGCAACAGGAUACUGGUGCUGGACAGUGGUACCAUCCAGGAGUUAGACUGUCCCUUCACCCUGCUGCAAAACAAAGAGGGUGCUCUCUACAAUAUGGUGCAACAGACGGGUCAGGCCACUGUUCUGCUUGAGGCUGCUAGACAGGCAGCACAGCAGUCCCAACAUGUGGAGACCAGCUGAGUGGCAUUUUGAAAGACUGCCUGUCUGCUGUAUAACAGUCAAGAUGUAAGUAGUGUGAGCACCCUGAGGCCACACAUUUAAUGUUGAAAGAUACAAACCUGCUAAUAUGGAAGUUCAAAAGCUAUUCGGAUUGUCAUUCAAGUUGCUUAAGUCAAAACUCAUGUGUUUUUGUUAUUUUUGUUAAUGUGAGUAAGCUGCUUUUCUCAUGUAACUGACCUGGAAAUCCAAAGUCCGACUGUGAAACUUGAGGUACACUAAAGAUGGUGCUAAUUGUAAUGUGCAUUUUUGUACAUGUGUCAUAAAGAUUACAUUGUUAACUGCCUGAGUUAUGGUCUUGUUUGUUGAUUUGACUAAUGUUGUUUUUCCUUAUUAGACAAUAACAAGUCUGUAGCUGAGCCCCAUCAGGACAAAUCAAUAAGGUUGGGCUGUGAUUGGCUAGCUGAACAGUGUCACCUCCUCUACAGGCAAGUAAAGUAGCAGCUGCUGCAAUUGAACGGUCAGAUCACUCACUUUACCUCCAAACUCAGAUUUGUUUUUACUCCACACCAAUACAGUUGAUGCAUUACAUUUGUGCCCCAUUCCUGAGUGAACAAAGAAAAAUCUACUCAGUAAAUGUUUCUGUAUGCUUGCUAUUAUCCUGGUACAGCAUGCAAAUACAAUUAGUGAGUACAGAAUAGAUUUUUCUUCAAAUCUCACUUAGGAAAGAGACACAAAUAAAACCAAAUCCAUCAUCAUCAGUAAUUUGGGUGAACUGACUUAAACAGCUUAAUUUGUGAAGUCCUCCCUUAUCACAACUUUCACAUUUAAAAGUCAGGUAGCAGUGCGCUCAGUUCACCAUGCAAGAGGUCCUUUGUUAGCAACCUUCCUCAUGCUGCUACACAGUGACAACUGGAAACCACAAGAGGGCAGCAAAACCAAAGCAACUACUUUUGAUGGCUAAAUGAAUGUAGAAGUUGUGAUAUGUGAAGCAUAUUUUCUGCUUUAUGUUGAAAGGGACAGUUCACAUUUUACCUGUGUUAUUGAUUCCAUCUACAUUGUUUGAGCUACUUAAGUUACAGCUCUGACACUUUCAGCCUGAGAGGAGGCAGACCUCUCAAACAAUGUGGAUGGAAUAAGUAACACUACAGGUACAGGGUGAACUGUCCCUUCAAUAUUAGCAAUGGAGGACCUGUAUUAAAAAGGUGGGAUCAGCCCUUCUGGAGAAAGAUGGCUCAGUCUCAUUCCCAGGUUGCCUGGAUUUAAAACAUGGGAAUGAGGCUCAACUAUCUUUUGCUAGAUGACUUAUCCUAGCUUUUAAGCAAUAGUUCAGUGUUUUGGGAAAUGUUUAAUAUAUUAUGGAACAAUGUCAAUCUCAUGUCUGUGCUUUAAAUAUGGAGGAUAUGGUUAGUUCAGUUAAUUCUAAAAGACCUACCAGUCAGAAGAUGUUGGUAAGUGUAGGAAAGGGCAAGCUUCCAGCCUUUAUGCUAAGCUAAACACAUUGUCAUUCUAACUCCAUAUUUAAAGCACAGACAUGAGAUUAUCAUCAGCAUUAUAUAUGUAAAGUAUUUCCCUAAAGCUGGGGCGAGUCAUUUAGCAAAAGUUACUUGAGCCUCAUUCCCGUGUUGUCAAUACAGACACUGGCAACCUGGGAAUGACACUGCAGAAGAACUGAACCCACCUUUUAAUACGCAACUAAACACAUGUCAAGAUUGCAGAAGCUACUGCUGUCUUUGCCUGUAGGUGAUGAUAAAGAGGUUGACAUCUGCUACUGUAAGCUGUCAGUUUAUUAGGUCCUCACCAUUUAUCCAUAGUCUGUGUGUAUGACGGACAGGGGCAGCAGAAAAAACAUAGCCCUUUUCAACAGGAAACUGAAUUGGUAAUAUUAAUAUGCUCACUUCAAGUGAACAAUGCAACAGUGUGUUUCUACUGUAGGGACACAGAUUAUGGAUAAGCAGUGGCAAAAAUAUCUGAAACAUCAGUACCACCACAAACUGCAGCCUUCAAAUGACUAAAGAAAUAACCUAAUAAACUCCUCACUCUAAAAUAUUCUGUAAUGCAUGAGUACUCACCAGUAUCCUGUCGCUGUCUAUGAUGGUGUUGAGGCGAUGAGCGAUGGUCAGCACUGUGCACUCUCUGAACUUCUCCCGUAUAGUUUUCUGGAUCAGUUCAUCUGUCCUGCAGAGAGAGAGACAUUGAAACAUUUUACUACCUACUAGUAACAUGAAUAAAGUGUUUAAGAAAACAUCUCUCAACAUGCCUUGUUCUUAAGCCAUAAUUUUAGGUGCAGUAUCAAAUCUAAUGUGUAGAGGAAAAAACUACACACUACUACUACAGUCAAUGGGGUGAGUCAUACCUGGGGUCCACGUUGGCUGUGGCCUCGUCAAUGAUGAGGAUGCGGUUCUUCCUCAGGACGGCUCUGGCCAGACAGACCAGCUGUCUCUGACCCACGCUGAAGUUGGAGCCCGACUCUGCAAGAACCGUCUCCAACUUCCCAGGAAGCUCCUCCACCACAGACUUCAGCUGAACCUACAGGGAACAUAGAGACACUUAUGAGUACACUACUGUGUGUGUACACACAAGUUGUCAAGUAAGAUUUAAGUAGAAAUACAGCUGAUCUUUAGGUACAUACAGAAUGAGAUAGCUGUUAGAUAAAGGGGGCUUAUUAAAUUCUACUGUGUAGAUGAGUGCAUUACUGACCUCUCGCAGGGCAUUCCACAGUUCUUCAUCUGUGUGUUGAUUAAAAGGGUCCAAGUUCUUCCUCAUGGAGCCUGUAAACAGCACUGGGUCCUAUAAAACGGGGGGGGGGUAAAUCACACUGGAUUGCUCUUAAUGUAUAUUCUGUCAAAUGUUUGAUCUAUUUUGUUGUUUGAGACGUGAACUUCUGUAACAUCUUAUUUUCCCCUCUGGGAUCAAUAAAGCAUCUACAAAUAAAUCAAGGGUUUUAACAUCCUGCUGUAGAAUGAAUACAUUCCUGUUUGUGAUAAAGACUUAAUGUCAUUGAUAAAAGAACACAAGAUUAAAUUAUAUUUACUACCUGGAUUUGAGUAAAUUGGUUUUCAAUAAUGGA